UACGGAGGGUGCAAGCGUUGCUCGGAAUUAUUGGGCGUAAAGGGUAGGUAGGUGGUUUCAUUUGUCUGGGGUGAAAGCCUUGAGCUUAACUCAAGAAGUGCCCCAGAAACGGUGAGACUGGAGUCCUGGAGAGGGUUGUGGAAUUCCCGGUGUAGCGGUGAAAUGCGUAGAUAUCUGGAGGAACACCGGUGGCGAAGGCGGCAUCCUGGACCGAUACUGACGCUGAGGAGCGAAAGCCAGGGGAGCAAACGGG
rnacentral:rRNA from 1 species